rnacentral:lncRNA from 1 species
CAGGCAUACCUAUGAUUAUAGCAGUGCUAAAUCUUGAAAGUGUCCUAAAUCAACAGAUAGGGUGACUAAGCAAAAUCCAAAUUCAAAGGCAUCAAUUGAUCGGAGAACAGAAAUGUAACAGAGGAGAGGUAAAAUGAUGAAUGUUACUUUGUUAAAGAAGAAAAAAUUCAAUUCCUCUCCAUCAGGCACUGUUUGACUAGUGACGGCUGGCACCUUCACAAGUGGCACCCGAACAGGGACCUGAGCACAGAGGACAAGGUGAAGGACGCCGCCGGAUUGUGAGCUCAGAUAAAUGCACAGAAACUAACACCUGCUGAUGGAUUAUGGCAUCCAAAUACAAAAACAUCCUAUGCACAAGUAAAAUGGAAAGACCCCCUCACGGGCC